rnacentral:piRNA from 1 species
UUCACAGUGUUGGAACCAUAGAC